rnacentral:tRNA from 1 species
CAAGGAGUAGUUUAAGAAGAAUUCCAGCUUUGGGAGUUGGAGGUAGGAUGAUAAAUCUUUUCCUUGA